rnacentral:pre_miRNA from 1 species
AUGUGAAUUUCCUGGGGAUCUUGUUAAGAUGCAGAUUCUGGUCCUGUAAGCCUGGCAUGGGGCCUGGGAGUCUGCAUUUCUGACAAGCUUCUGGAUGGUGACGCA